GCCUGAGUGGCUCAGUUGGUUGAGCAUCUGACUCUCAAUUCCAGCUCAGGUCAGGAUCUCACUAUAUGUGGGUUCGAACCCUACAUUAGGCU
rnacentral:tRNA from 1 species